rnacentral:rRNA from 1 species
UACGUAGGGUGCGAGCGUUAAUCGGAAUUACUGGGCGUAAAGCGUGCGCAGGCGGUUAUGUAAGACAGGUGUGAAAUCCCCGGGCUUAACCUGGGAACUGCAUUUGUGACUGCAUAGCUAGAGUACGGAAGAGGGGGAUGGAAUUCCGCGUGUAGCAGUGAAAUGCGUAGAUAUGCGGAGGAACACCGAUGGCGAAGGCAAUCCCCUGGACCUGUACUGACGCUCAUGCACGAAAGCGUGGGGAGCAAACAGG